rnacentral:rRNA from 1 species
GACGAACGCUGGCGGCGUGCCUAACACAUGCAAGUCGAGCGGGGUUGAAGCGAGAGGUAACUCGAACUUCUACCUAGCGGCGGACGGGUGAGUAACGCGUGGGCAACCUGCCUCAAGGUCUGGGAUAACAGCCCGAAAGGGCUGCUAAUACUGGGUAUGCUUGUGGCCUCGCAUGGGGCUAUGAGCAAAGGGGAAACCCGCCUUGAGAUGGGCCCGCGUCCCAUCAGCUAGUUGGUGAGGUAACAGCUCACCAAGGCGACGACGGGUAGCCGGCCUGAGAGGGUGACCGGCCACACUGGGACUGAGACACGGCCCAGACUCCUACGGGGGCAGCAGUGGGGGAUCUUGCACAAUGGGCGAAAGCCUGAUGCAGCGACGCCGCGUGAGCGAAGAAGGCCUUCGGGUUGUAAAGCUCUGUCUGGAGGGACGAAGGAAGUGACGGUACCUCCGGAGGAGCCACAGACUAACUACGUGCCAGCAGCCGGCGGUAAUCAACCGAGUAA